UUCGCUUAUUUUGCAUAGCAUUUUUUGGCACGGUAACUUGGUUCGUAACAUACAGCCUAUUUAAACCGCUUGCUAAUGCUAAAGUAAGGCAUCACCCCAAUUGAUCAAUUGUAUCUUCUCAAAUCUUCGUUGACACUGUAUUACUGAUAAACUAUGCAACGUGGAAGUUUGGAUUUUAUCCUAUCAAUUAUUAAAUUACACAUUUGUAUGCACAGAAGCUAAGCAGUAUUAUAAUAUAAUUUACACCCGAUGUAUGCAAAUUAUGAUUGUAAAAAUGAUUUCUAACUUGAUUUGCACACGGCCAUGCAAAAAGGAAUUAUAGUACAAUAACAAAGUGCUAAAAACAAGAAAAACUCACUUGAUGCUCAUGCUCAUCUAUUAGCUAAAGCUAUCAAACAAACACUUCACUUAUAUAGCGGAAAUUAGACAAACUUACCGGUCCAGCAGAAAGCUUGCAACUUUGGCGUCGCUUAGCAAACCCUUUUCCUGCUUCAGUGCCCUCCAUUUGGGAAAAGCCAUGCCGAUGUUUAUUCGGGUUUUCUGCCGUUUUUGUCUCGACUUAGCCUUGCUGCGUCGUAUUUUCUCUUUUUUGAACGAACAGAUUGACGCUCUAACGGCUCUUGUGCGGAGUAUGUGUGGUCCGCCAUAAGCGCAAAUUUUGCUUCUUACUGCAACAAAGAACCGUUUAUAUUUCUACUAAAAAACACGACAAGUAAAUGCUGUUAUUGUUCUUCCUCUUCUUACGCUAAUCCUUCUACAGUGCUGCCAACUCUCACGCUUUCGCCGUGUGACACACGGAUUUCUCUAUUUUCACACGCACUCACGCCACACAUCCAAUUUCUCACGCAAAAAAAAUAACGAUCGUGGGGCGAGACUCGUUCGUUCCUUUUCAAACUCCCCGACGGUAGAUGGCGCUGAUGGCUUGCUGCACCCCCAAGUUAGCGACAGGGGAAGAGAAACCCUGAAAGACAAUGAGAGAAACUACCACCUCAAGUCUAAUGAUGAAUCUGAGACUAGUCCAACGAAAAGGACUCCGUGUGGAUGAAGACUUUUUCUCAUCUGUUUGACCAAACAGUAGGCUGCCCCUAUCAACGGAUUUGGGCCUCCGCACAACCUACCAGAAUGCAGGGUACAACAUCAAAUGAAUUCCAAUUCUCUGAGAUCUGAGGCACCAACUUGUGUGGCUGCAUGCGCGGCAUAAUUUUGAUCACUCCUGACAAAAUCUCACUCCAAGGUUUUUUGAAAAGUUGGCAGGUAUGCUUCUAUGUAGUCGCUUUGAAGCUGCCCCAAAAAACAGCCGAAGAAGAAGAACAUAUUCUCGCGCAUCCUUCGUUUUACGAAACGCGCUCAGUUUGUCCGUGUAGUGCUACUAUAGAAACAUGGCUGUGCACAUUAAUAAAUUACAUGUAAGGGUGUGCCCGCGGUGUAUAUACAUAAAAUGGCUCAUUGUAAGGUAAUAUAAACAUUUCGUUUCAUUUUGUAAGGUAUUUCUUCACCACUCACAACAUAGUUUUGUAUUAUAUAUUACAUUUAGGUGAAUAAAUCCUUCAAAAUCCUACACAUUGUACCUUUAACUC